rnacentral:rRNA from 1 species
AAAAGCGUAAACGGUAUACGAUGGACCCGCGUCUGAUUAGCUAGUUGGCGGGGUAGAGGCCCACCAAGGCGACGAUCAGUAGCCGGCCUGAGAGGGUGACCGGCCACAUUGGGACUGAGACACGGCCCAAACUCCUACGGGAGGCAGCAGUGGGGAAUAUUGCACAAUGGGGGGAACCCUGAUGCAGCGACGCCGCGUGAGUGAAGAAGUAUUUCGGUAUGUAAAGCUCUAUCAGCAGGGAAGAAAAUGACGGUACCUGACUAAGAAGCCCCGGCUAACUACGUGCCAGCAGCCGCGGUAAUACGUAGGGGGCAAGCGUUAUCCGGAUUUACUGGGUGUAAAGGGAGCGUAGACGGUUAUGCAAGUCUGAAGUGAAAGCCCAAGGCUCAACCAUGGGACUGCUUUGGAGACUGUAAAACUGGAGUGCAGGAGAGGUAAGCGGAAUUCCUAGUGUAGCGGUGAAAUGCGUAGAUAUUAGGAGGAACACCAGUGGCGAAGGCGGCUUACUGGACUGUAACUGACGUUGAGGCUCGAAGGCGUGGGGAGCAAACAGGAUUAGAUACCCUGGUAGUCCACGCGGUAAACGAUGAUCACUAGGUGUCGGUGGGUAGAGACCCAUCG